rfam:Toxocara canis scaffold436, whole genome shotgun sequence.
GCGGCAAUAGCUCAGUGGUAGAGCCCCCGCUUCGCGUGCGGGGAGACCCCGGUUUGAUUACCGGUUGCUUCC